UAGGGAAUCUUCGGCAAUGGACGAAAGUCUGACCGAGCAACGCCGCGUGAGUGAAGAAGGUUUUCGGAUCGUAAAACUCUGUUGUUAGAGAAGAACAAGGACGUUAGUAACUGAACGUCCCCUGACGGUAUCUAACCAGAAAGCCACGGCUAACUACGUGCCAGCAGCCGCGGUAAUACGUAGGUGGCAAGCGUUGUCCGGAUUUAUUGGGCGUAAAGCGAGCGCAGGCGGUUUCUUAAGUCUGAUGUGAAAGCCCCCGGCUCACCCGGGGAGGGUCAUUGGAAACUGGAAGGCUUUAGUGCAGAAGAAGAGAGUGUAAUUCCAUGUGUAGCGGUGAAAUGCGUAGAUAUAUGGAGAAACACCAGUGGCGAAGGCGGCUCUCAGGUCUGUAACUGACGCUGAGGCUCGAAAGCGUGGGGAGCAAACAGG
rnacentral:rRNA from 1 species